UGAGGAACCUGCCCAUCGGCGGGGGGAUAGCCGGCCCAACGGCCGGGUAAUACCGCGUACGUCCUUCGGGGGGCGAUCCCCUGAUGGAGAAAGCAGCAAUGCGCCGAUGGAGGGCCUCGCGUCCUAUCAGCUAGUUGGUGGGGUAAUGGCUCACCAAGGCGACGACGGGUAGCUGGUCUGAGAGGAUGGCCAGCCACAUUGGGACUGAGACACGGCCCAGACUCCGUACGGGGAGGNAG
rnacentral:rRNA from 1 species